rnacentral:rRNA from 1 species
CAGUCGCCGCGGUAAAACGUAGGGUGCAAGCGUUAAUCGGAAUUACUGGGCGUAAAGCGUGCGUAGGCGGCUUUUUAAGUCGGAUGUGAAAUCCCUGAGCUUAACUUAGGAAUUGCAUUCGAUACUGGGAAGCUAGAGUAUGGGAGAGGAUGGUAGAAUUCCAGGUGUAGCGGUGAAAUGCGUAGAGAUCUGGAGGAAUACCGAUGGCGAAGGCAGCCAUCUGGCCUAAUACUGACGCUGAGGUACGAAAGCAUGGGGAGCGAACAGGAUUAGAUACCCCAGUAGUCCCUGUCUCUUAUAA